rnacentral:rRNA from 1 species
CUCAGGACGAACGCUGGCGGCGUGCUUAACACAUGCAAGUCGAACGGUGAAGCCCAGCUUGCUGGGUGGAUCAGUGGCGAACGGGUGAGUAACACGUGAGCAACCUGCCCUCCACUUCGGGAUAAGCCUUGGAAACGGGGUCUAAUACCGGAUAUGAGCUCGCAUCGCAUGGUGUGGGUUGGAAAGUUUUUCGGUGGGGGAUGGGCUCGCGGCCUAUCAGCUUGUUGGUGGGGUGAUGGCCUACCAAGGCGUCGACGGGUAGCCGGCCUGAGAGGGCGACCGGCCACACUGGGACUGAGACACGGCCCAGACUCCUACGGGAGGCAGCAGUGGGGAAUAUUGCACAAUGGGCGCAAGCCUGAUGCAGCGACGCCGCGUGAGGGAUGACGGCCUUCGGGUUGUAAACCUCUUUCAGCAGGGAAGAAGGCUUCGGUUGACGGUACCUGCAGAAGAAGCGCCGGCUAACUACGUGCCAGCAGCCGCGGUAAUACGUAGGGCGCAAGCGUUGUCCGGAAUUAUUGGGCGUAAAGAGCUCGUAGGCGGUCUGUCGCGUCUGGUGUGAAAUCCCGAGGCUCAACCUCGGGCUUGCAUCGGGUACGGGCAGACUAGAGUGCGGUAGGGGAGACUGGAAUUCCUGGUGUAGCGGUGGAAUGCGCAGAUAUCAGGAGGAACACCGAUGGCGAAGGCAGGUCUCUGGGCCGCAACUGACGCUGAGGAGCGAAAGCAUGGGGAGCGAACAGGAUUAGAUACCCUGGUAGUCCAUGCCGUAAACGUUGGGCACUAGGUGUGGGGCUCAUUCCACGAGUUCCGCGCCGCAGCUAACGCAUUAAGUGCCCCGCCUGGGGAGUACGGCCGCAAGGCUAAAACUCAAAGGAAUUGACGGGGGCCCGCACAAGCGGCGGAGCAUGCGGAUUAAUUCGAUGCAACGCGAAGAACCUUACCAAGGCUUGACAUGCACCGGACGCUUCCAGAGAUGGUUGUUCCGCAAGGUCGGUGCACAGGUGGUGCAUGGUUGUCGUCAGCUCGUGUCGUGAGAUGUUGGGUUAAGUCCCGCAACGAGCGCAACCCUCGUCCCAUGUUGCCAGCGGGUUAUGCCAGGGACUCAUGGGAGACUGCCGGGGUCAACUC